GGCGAAGUGGCCGAGUGGUUAAGGCGCUGUGUUUAGGAAGCUUAUUCCUUCCAAAAACCGCAGUGGGAAACCUCGCGAGUUCGAAUCUCGUCUUCGUCA